GAACCUACGGGACGCAGCAGUCGGGAAUAUUGCGCAAUGGAGGAAACUCUGACGCAGUGACGCCGCGUAUAGGAAGAAGGUUUUCGGAUUGUAAACUAUUGUCGUGAGGGAAGAAAUUGACAGUACCUCAGGAGGAAGCUCCGGCUAACUAUGUGCCAGCAGCCGCGGUAAUACAUAGGUGGCAAGCGUUAUCCGGAUUUACUGGGUGUAAAGGGCGUGUAGGCGGGACUGCAAGUCAGAUGUGAAAACCACGGGCUCAACCUGUGGCCUGCAUUUGAAACUGUAG
rnacentral:rRNA from 1 species